rnacentral:ribozyme from 1 species
GGUUCAGAAGACAAAUACCUUCACGAGGUCCAGACCAUAAGUAAGCUUUACAACAAUUGCUAAAAAAUGCCAAGCCGAAACAAAAUUUGU